rnacentral:rRNA from 1 species
AUUGAACGCUGGCGGCAUGCCUUACACAUGCAAGUCGAACGGCAGCACGAGAGCAAUCCUGGUGGCGAGUGGCGAACGGGUGAGUAAUAUAUCGGAACGUGCCCAGUCGUGGGGGAUAACGUAGCGAAAGCUACGCUAAUACCGCAUACGAUCUAUGGAUGAAAGCAGGGGAUCGCAAGACCUCGCGCGAUUGGAGCGGCCGAUAUCAGAUUAGCUAGUUGGUGAGGUAAAGGCUCACCAAGGCGACGAUCUGUAGCUGGUCUGAGAGGACGACCAGCCACACUGGGACUGAGACACGGCCCAGACUCCUACGGGAGGCAGCAGUGGGGAAUUUUGGACAAUGGGCGCAAGCCUGAUCCAGCAAUGCCGCGUGCAGGAUGAAGGCCUUCGGGUUGUAAACUGCUUUUGUACGGAACGAAACGGCGAACUCUAAUACAGUUUGCUAAUGACGGUACCGUAAGAAUAAGCACCGGCUAACUACGUGCCAGCAGCCGCUGUAA